rnacentral:rRNA from 1 species
CACGUAGGGGGCAAGCGUUGUCCGGAUUUAUUGGGCGUAAAGAGCUCGUAGGCGGUUCGAUAAGUCGGGUGUGAAACCUCCAGGCUCAACCUGGAGACGCCACCCGAUACUGUUGUGACUAGAGUCCGGUAGGGGAGCGUGGAAUUCCUGGUGUAGCGGUGAAAUGCGCAGAUAUCAGGAGGAACACCAGCGGCGAAGGCGGCGCUCUGGGCCGGAACUGACGCUGAGGAGCGAAAGCGUGGGUAGCAAACAGG